AGUGAACGCUGGCGGUAGGCCUAACACAUGCAAGUCGAACGGCAGCACAGUAAGAGCUUGCUCUUACGGGUGGCGAGUGGCGGACGGGUGAGGAAUACAUCGGAAUCUACUUUUUCGUGGGGGAUAACGUAGGGAAACUUACGCUAAUACCGCAUACGACCUACGGGUGAAAGCAGGGGAUCUUCGGACCUUGCGCGAUUGAAUGAGCCGAUGGCGGAUUAGCUAGUUGGCGGGGUAAAGGCCCACCAAGGCGACGAUCCGUAGCUGGUCUGAGAGGAUGAUCAGCCACACUGGAAGUGAGACAGGGUCCAGACUCCUACGGGAGGCAGCAGUGGGGAAUAUUGGGCAAUGGGCGCAAGCCUGAUCCAGCCAUACCGCGUGGGUGAAGAAGGCCUUCGGGUUGUAAAGCCCUUUUGUUGGGAAAGAAAAGCAGCAGGUUAAUACCCCGCUGUUCUGACGGUACCCAAAGAAUAAGCACCGGCUAACUUCGUG
rnacentral:rRNA from 1 species